rnacentral:rRNA from 1 species
AUUGAACGCUGGCGGCAGGCCUAACACAUGCAAGUCGAACGGUAGCACAGAGAGCUUGCUCUCGGGUGACGAGUGGCGGACGGGUGAGUAAUGUCUGGGAAACUGCCCGAUGGAGGGGAUAACUACUGGAAACGGUAGCUAAUACCGCAUAACGUCGCAAGACCAAAGUGGGGGACCUUCGGGCCUCACACCAUCGGAUGUGCCCAGAUGGGAUUAGCUAGUAGGUGGGGUAAUGGCUCACCUAGGCGACGAUCCCUAGCUGGUCUGAGAGGAUGACCAGCCACACUGGAACUGAGACACGGUCCAGACUCCUACGGGAGGCAGCAGUGGGGAAUAUUGCACAAUGGGCGCAAGCCUGAUGCAGCCAUGCCGCGUGUAUGAAGAAGGCCUUCGGGCUGUAAAGUACUUUCAGCGGGGAGGAAGGCGGUGAAGUUAAUAGCUUCACCGAUUGACGUUACCCGCAGAAGAAGCACCGGCUAACUCCGUGCCAGCCGCCGCGGUAA